CCCUAGCCCCGAUUGCAACGGCAUCCUUUUUGGUUGCGGGCGGAGCGAAGCAGAGCCCGUAACCAAAAAGAUAUAGUGAAAAGCGGGAUUAAGC
rfam:Chryseobacterium sp. IHB B 10212 strain IHBB 10212, complete genome.